AGUCGANCGCCCUAGCAUAGGGAGUGGCGCACGGGUGAGUAACGCGUGGGAACAUGCCCCUUAGUACGGGACAACGUCGGGAAACUGACGCUAAUACCGUAUAAUAUCUCCGGAUCAAAGAUUUAUCGCUGAGGGAGUGGCCCGCGUCUGAUUAGCUAGUUGGUGAGGUAAUAGCUCACCAAGGCUACGAUCAGUAGCAGGUCUGAGAGGAUGAUCUGCCACACUGGGACUGAGACACGGCCCAGACUCCUACGGGAGGCAGCAGUUAGGAAUAUUGGACAAUGGGGGAAACCCUGAUCCAGCCAUGCCGCGUGUGUGAUGAAGGCCUUAGGGUUGUAAAGCACUUUCGUUGGGGAUGAUAAUGACCGUACCCAAAGAAGAAGCACCGGCUAACUUCGUGCCAGCAGCCGCGGUAAUACGAAGGGUGCAAGCGUUGUUCGGAAUCACUGGGCGUAAAGAAUGCGUAGGCGGCUUAAUAAGUCGGGAGUGAAAUCCCAGGGCUCAACCCUGGAACUGCUCUCGAAACUAUUUUGCUAGAGUCCCGGAGGGGUUAGCGGAAUUCCGAGUGUAGAGGUGAAAUUCGCAGAUAUUCGGAGGAACACCAGUGGCGAAGGCGGCUAACUGGACGGGAACUGACGCUGAGGCAUGAAAGUGCGGGGAUCAAACAGGAUUAGAUACCCUGGUAGUCCACACCGUAAACGAUGUGUGCUAGUUGUCAGGCAGCUUUGCUGUUUGGUGACGGAGCUAACGUUUUAAGCACACCGCCUGGGAAGUACGGCCGCAAGGUUAAAACUCAAAGGAAUUGACGGGGACCCGCACAAGCAGUGGAACAUGUCCUUUAAUUCGUAGCAACGCGAAGAANCCUUACCUACCCUUGACAUACCAGUUGUGAUUUCCAGAGAUGGAUUUCUUCAUUUAGUUGGGCUGGAUACAGGNGCUGCAU
rnacentral:rRNA from 1 species